rnacentral:tRNA from 1 species
GGGGCGGUGGCGGAAUUGGCAGACGCCGGGGACUUAAAAUCCUCUACUCGAAAGAGUGUGUGGGUUCGACCCCCACCCGCCCUA